rnacentral:rRNA from 1 species
GGCGUACGGCUCCUUAACACGUAGUCAACCUGCCCUGGAGACAUGGAUAACCCCGGGAAACUGGGAUUAAUACAUGAUAGGUCAUCUCAUCUGGAAGGAGAGAUGGCUUAAAGGGGUGUGUGAGCUUCUUUCAUACACUUGCUCCAGGAUGGGAUUGCGACUGAUCAGGCUGUUGGCGGGGUAAUGGCCCACCAAACCAGUAACCAGUACGGGCCUUGAGAGAGGGGGCCCGGAGAUGGACACUGAGAGAAGGGUCCAGGUCCUACGGGGCGCAGCAGGCGCGAAACCUUCGCAAUGCGCGAAAGCGUGACGAGGUUAAUCCGAGUGGUUCCCGCUGAGGGAAUCUUUUGUCGGCUGUAAAAAGGCCGGCGAAUAAGGGGAGGGCAAGUCUGGUGUCAGCCGCCGCGGUAAUACCAGCUCCUCGAGUGGUCGGGGCGAUUAUUGGGCCUAAAGCAUCCGUAGCCGGUUCUGUAGGUCCUCUGUUAAAUCCAACGGCUUAACCGUUGGCCCGCAGAGGAUACCGCAGGACUAGGAGGCGGGAGAGGCAGACGGUACUCUACGUGUAGGGGUAAAAUCCUUUGAUCCGUAGAAGA